rnacentral:rRNA from 1 species
GGUUAAGCGACUAAGCGUACACGGUGGAUGCCCUGGCAGUCAGAGGCGAUGAAGGACGUGCUAAUCUGCGAAAAGCGUCGGUAAGGUGAUAUGAACCGUUAUAACCGGCGAUGUCCGAAUGGGGAAACCCAGUGUGAUUCGUCACACUAUCGUUAACUGAAUACAUAGGUUAACGAGGCGAACCGGGGGAACUGAAACAUCUAAGUACCCCGAGGAAAAGAAAUCAACCGAGAUUCCCCCAGUAGCGGCGAGCGAACGGGGAGCAGCCCAGAGUCUGAAUCAGCUUGUGUGUUAGUGGAACGGUCUGGAAAGUCCGACGGUACAGGGUGAUAGUCCCGUACACCAAAAUGCACAGGUUGUGAACUCGAAGAGUAGGGCGGGACACGUGGUAUCCUGUCUGAAUAUGGGGGGACCAUCCUCCAAGGCUAAAUACUCCUGACUGACCGAUAGUGAACCAGUACCGUGAGGGAAAGGCGAAAAGAACCCCGGCGAGGGGAGUGAAAAAGAACCUGAAACCGUGUACGUACAAGCAGUGGGAGCACCUUCGGGUGUGACUGCGUACCUUUUGUAUAAUGGGUCAGCGACUUAUAUUCUGUAGCAAGGUUAACCGUAUAGGGGAGCCGCAGGGAAACCGAGUCUUAACUGGGCGUUAAGUUGCAGGGUAUAGACCCGAAACCCGGUGAUCUAGCCAUGGGCAGGUUGAAGGUUGGGUAACACUAACUGGAGGACCGAACCGACUAAUGUUGAAAAAUUAGCGGAUGACUUGUGGCUGGGGGUGAAAGGCCAAUCAAACCGGGAGAUAGCUGGUUCUCCCCGAAAGCUAUUUAGGUAGCGCCUCGUGAAUUCAUCUUCGGGGGUAGAGCACUGUUUCGGCUAGGGGGUCAUCCCGACUUACCAACCCGAUGCAAACUACGAAUACCGAAGAAUGUUAUCACGGGAGACACACGGCGGGUGCUAACGUCCGUCGUGAAGAGGGAAACAACCCAGACCGCCAGCUAAGGUCCCAAAGUCAUGGUUAAGUGGGAAACGAUGUGGGAAGGCACAGACAGCCAGGAUGUUGGCUUAGAAGCAGCCAUCAUUUAAAGAAAGCGUAAUAGCUCACUGGUCGAGUCGGCCUGCGCGGAAGAUGUAACGGGGCUAAACCAUGCACCGAAGCUGCGGCAGCGACACUAUGUGUUGUUGGGUAGGGGAGCGUUCUGUAAGCCUGCGAAGGUGACCUGUGAGGGUUGCUGGAGGUAUCAGAAGUGCGAAUGCUGACAUAAGUAACGAUAAAGCGGGUGAAAAGCCCGCUCGCCGGAAGACCAAGGGUUCCUGUCCAACGUUAAUCGGGGCAGGGUGAGUCGACCCCUAAGGCGAGGCCGAAAGGCGUAGUCGAUGGGAAACAGGUUAAUAUUCCUGUACUUGGUGUUACUGCGAAGGGGGGACGGAGAAGGCUAUGUUAGCCGGGCGACGGUUGUCCCGGUUUAAGCAUGUAGGCUGGUUGUCCAGGCAAAUCCGGAUAAUCAAGGCUGAGGUGUGAUGACGAGGCACUACGGUGCUGAAGUAACAAAUGCCCUGCUUCCAGGAAAAGCCUCUAAGCAUCAGGUAACAUCAAAUCGUACCCCAAACCGACACAGGUGGUCAGGUAGAGAAUACCAAGGCGCUUGAGAGAACUCGGGUGAAGGAACUAGGCAAAAUGGUGCCGUAACUUCGGGAGAAGGCACGCUGGUGUGUAGGUGAAGCCCCUGCGGGUGGAGCUGAGACCAGUCGAAGAUACCAGCUGGCUGCAACUGUUUAUUAAAAACACAGCACUGUGCAAACACGAAAGUGGACGUAUACGGUGUGACGCCUGCCCGGUGCCGGAAGGUUAAUUGAUGGGGUUAUCCGUAAGGAGAAGCUCUUGAUCGAAGCCCCGGUAAACGGCGGCCGUAACUAUAACGGUCCUAAGGUAGCGAAAUUCCUUGUCGGGUAAGUUCCGACCUGCACGAAUGGCGUAAUGAUGGCCAGGCUGUCUCCACCCGAGACUCAGUGAAAUUGAACUCGCUGUGAAGAUGCAGUGUACCCGCGGCAAGACGGAAAGACCCCGUGAACCUUUACUAUAGCUUGACACUGAACAUUGAGCCUUGAUGUGUAGGAUAGGUGGGAGGCUUUGAAGCGUGGACGCCAGUCUGCGUGGAGCCAACCUUGAAAUACCACCCUUUAAUGUUUGAUGUUCUAACGUUGGCCCCUGACCGGGGUUGCGGACAGUGUCUGGUGGGUAGUUUGACUGGGGCGGUCUCCUCCCAAAGCGUAACGGAGGAGCACGAAGGUUAGCUAAUCCUGGUCGGACAUCAGGAGGUUAGUGCAAUGGCAUAAGCUAGCUUGACUGCGAGCGUGACGGCGCGAGCAGGUGCGAAAGCAGGUCAUAGUGAUCCGGUGGUUCUGAAUGGAAGGGCCAUCGCUCAACGGAUAAAAGGUACUCCGGGGAUAACAGGCUGAUACCGCCCAAGAGUUCAUAUCGACGGCGGUGUUUGGCACCUCGAUGUCGGCUCAUCACAUCCUGGGGCUGAAGUAGGUCCCAAGGGUAUGGCUGUUCGCCAUUUAAAGUGGUACGCGAGCUGGGUUUAGAACGUCGUGAGACAGUUCGGUCCCUAUCUGCCGUGGGCGCUGGAGAAUUGAGGGGGGCUGCUCCUAGUACGAGAGGACCGGAGUGGACGCAUCACUGGUGUUCGGGUUGUCAUGCCAAUGGCACUGCCCGGUAGCUAAAUGCGGAAGAGAUAAGUGCUGAAAGCAUCUAAGCACGAAACUUGCCCCGAGAUGAGUUCUCCCUGAGACUUUAAGUCUCCUGAAGGAACGUUGAAGACGACGACGUUGAUAGGCCGGGUGUGUAAGCGCAGCGAUGCGUUGAGCUAACCGGUACUAAUGAACCGUGAGGCUUAACCUU